rnacentral:rRNA from 1 species
GAUGAACGCUGGCGGCGCGCCUAACACAUGCAAGUCGAACGGCACCCCUCCUCGGAGGGAAGCGAGUGGCGAACGGCUGAGUAACACGUGGAGAACCUGCCCCCUCCCCCGGGAUAGCCGCCCGAAAGGACGGGUAAUACCGGAUACCCCGGGGUGCCGCAUGGCACCCCGGCUAAAGCCCCGACGGGAGGGGAUGGCUCCGCGGCCCAUCAGGUAGACGGCGGGGUGACGGCCCACCGUGCCGACAACGGGUAGCCGGGUUGAGAGACCGACCGGCCAGAUUGGGACGGAGAGACGGCCCAGACACCUACGGGAGGCAGCAGUAGGGAAUCUUGCGCAAUGGGGGGAGCCCUGACGCAGCGACGCGGCGGGCGGGACGGAGGCCUUCGGGUCGUAAACCGCUUUCAGCAGGGAAGAGUCAAGACUGUACCUGCAGAAGAAGCCCCGGCUAACUACGUG